UGCAGAAUUGUCAGCCAGUCUUGAGAGAUUAGCGGCGUUCGUCUAAACGAGGAAUGAACGGGUGACGAAUCUUUGCGCAAGAAAUGCGUAAAUUACGAAGGUUUGUGAGGAGCGAAUUAUGCAGCAGAAAGAACGUGACUUGGAACUUUUGAUCGAUAGAGAAAAAUUGAGACUGAAAGAGGUUGAAGACGAACAAAAUGUUUCUGUCGAGGAAAAAAAAGAGGACAUAUCCGGCGAGGAUGGAAAUUAUAUCAAUAUUUAUAACGACACGUUCAAUAUUUAUGAAGACACGAAUUGAUUAUUAAUUCAAUUUAUAUAUGUAUAUGCUUAAAAGAAAAAAAAGG
rnacentral:misc_RNA from 1 species